rnacentral:rRNA from 1 species
GAGGCAGCAGUGAGGAGUAUUGGUCAAUGGAGGCAACUCUGAACCAGCCAAGCCGCGUGAAGGAAGACUGUCCUAUGGAUUGUAAACUUCUUUUGUGGCAGAAUAAACUACCGUACUCGUACGGUAUUGCAUGUAUGCCAUGAAUAAGCAUCGGCUAACUCCGUGCCAGCAGCCGCGGUAAUACGGAGGAUGCGGGCGUUAUCCGGAUCUAUUAGGUUUACAGGGUGUUCAGGCUGCCUGGUAAGUCAGGGGUGAAAGUCGGUCGCUCAACGAUCGAAUUGCCUUUGAAACUGUCAGGCUCGAGUAUGGAUGCGGUAGGCGGAAUGUGUAGUGUAGCGGUGAAAUGCAUAGAUAUUACACAGAACACCGAUUGCGAAGGCAGCUUACCAAACCAGCACUGACGCUGAAGCACGAAAGCGUGGGGAGCGAACAGGAUUAGAUACCCUGGUAGUCCACGCCGUAAACUUUGCUCACUCGCUGUUGGCGAUAGACAGACAGCGGCCAAGGGAACCGAUAAGUGAGCCACCUGGGGAGUACGGCCGCAAGGUUGAAACUCAAAGGAAUUGACGGGGGCCCGCACAAGCGGUGGAACAUGUGGUUUAAUUCGAUGAUACGCGAGGAACCUUACCUGGGCUUAAAUGUGAAGUGCAUUGAUUGGAAACAAUCAUUUCCUUCGGGACCCUUUACAAGGUGCUGCAUGGUUGUCGUCAGCUCGUGCCGUGAGGUGUCGGGUUAAGUCCCAUAACGAGCGCAACCCCUAUUGUUAGUUACCAGCGCGUGAUGGCGGGGACUCUAGCGAAACUGCCGGUGUAAACCGCGAGGAAGGUGGGGAUGACGUCAAAUCAGCACGGCCCUUAUGUCCAGGGCUACACACGUGUUACAAUGGCCGGUACAGCGGGCAGCUAGGCAGCGAUGUCAUGCUAAUCCCGAAAGCCGGUCCCAGUUCGGAUUGGAGUCUGCAACCCGACUCCAUGAAGGUGGAAUCGCUAGUAAUCGCGCAUCAGCCAUGGCGCGGUGAUACGUUCCCGGGCCUUGUACACACCGCCCGUCAAGCCAUGGAAGUCUGGGGUGCCUGAAGGCCGUAAC